UAUGUUAUAAUAUUAUUGUCGUUUAUUUGAAUUUCAAAAAAAAAAAAAAAAAAACAAACAAAUUAUUAAAACUACGUGGUACGCGCAAAUACGUCACGAUAAUGGCUAAUUUUAUAUUUGGUAUGUAUCGUAUAAUAAUCAUAAUAUUAUAAUAUCGCGCUCUCACAGACGAAGCCCCGUCGAGUGUACAAAAAUGAUAGUAGUUUUUUUUUUUUUUUUUUUCUAUGAUAAUUAUUUCACAAGCAAACACUAUAUAAUAAUAUUAUAAUAAAACAGGCAAUAGACAAUAUAGGUUUUACAGUGUUCGCGGGUGGUUACUUUAACGUACACAAUAAUAUAAUAAAAUAUAAUAUAAUAUAAUAUAAUAUAAAAGGGUAUUAUACGCGAUAAAUCUUAAAUUAUUGAAAAGUUCUGUACCCGCUAUAAAUAACAUAAUGUAUAUACUAUAAAUUGUAGACUACAUAAUAUAAUAACAUUGUAACAAUAUAAUAAUAUGUUUUGUACGGUCGAUAAAAAAUACAAAUAAAAACUAUUAUAAACGUAUACUGACUUUUUUCUUAUUAUUUUUUCUAAUCAUAAUCGACAAUCGAAACGCAUUGCAAUAAUACAAUAUUAUUGUGGCCGAAUAACGACGCGCUCUUGCGAUAAUCACAGGCAAUACAAAUAAUAAUUGUUGUCAUCGGUUACUGCGAUUUCACUUGCAGGGUUCGUUAAUAUCAUUGUAGAUUCAUAUAUGUGUAUACGGAUGUUAUAUGAAUAAUACUAUUAGUAUUGGUUAUCGGCAUCGCCAUAAAUCAGAAAAAGCGUGAAUAAUACAUUGCCUAUGGUUCACCAGCAAAAAGUUAACUCUCUUAUACGGGAGCUAUCUCGGAAACUCACGCUCGUAUAGGUAUGGGGCGAUAUUUAAACAAGACAUUAAUAUAAACGAUACUGAACGGAACGUUGCAUAAUUGAAAUUUAAAUUAAAAUAAUAUUUACGUAUAUUUAAAAAAAAAAAAAAAAAAAUGAAAAAGGUACCCGUAGGCGGGUCACGAAACAAACGAAGUAAAAUAUAUUUAUGCAACAAACGUCGUAUAAAACGAUAAUUCGUAAUGAUAAAGGAAGUGACAAACUUAACGCUAUAAUGUCUACGGAUAUGGAUUGUAGGUUGUGGGUUGAUAAUAUGCGAGAUCGUAUUAUAAAAUAGGAUGAUAUGGACGAUGUGGUCGAGUGAUAUGAUGAAACGGCAGGUGUACCUAGUCCGGCGGGUAUUGUAGGGAUAGAAUAAUGUAAAACAAUAUCAUUCGGGCGGGUUAUAGGUUGUAAUAGAUGCGGGCGGGCCGCGUUUAGGCGUAUGAGAAAUAACAACAAUAAUUUAUUGACGUUGUCAAAACGUCCGGUCGAUAUUAUUAUUAUUAUUCGAGUGUUGCGAAAUUUCGAUCGAUCAAAAAGCACGCGAAAUCGCGCGAUUUUUAAACACCAAUAACCAAUCUUAUUAUAUUUCAAAAUUUGAAUCGGCUUAUAUUAUUAUUGUUAAAAAAUUAUCGUUGUCGUAUUAUAUUUGAAUGUCUACGUUAUUAGUGUUCAUACUCGAAAAAGAAUUAUUACGAUAAAUUAUAAUAAUUAAUUGAAAUAUUAAGCAAAGUACUUAUAGACUAUUUGAAUAAUCGUAUAUAAUUUGGGUUUUUUUAUUUUUUUUUUUAUUAUUAUUAUUAUUUUAAAUUAUCAAUUACAUUAAAAAUUUGAUCAAGUAUAUUAUUGUCGAAAUGUAUGCGAAUCACGCGAGAAUAUCGUAAUAUAGAGUUUUUAGUUAGAUUAAUAUUGAUAACUCCAAGCGGCUCGUGUCUCGGUCAUGUUAAAAGUCGAUUUGAAAACGCAGUUAAUUGUUUAGCUUAAACUAACGUUUUGUAAAACUGUCAUUUUUUUUUUUUUUUUAUUAUUAUUAUUAUUGUCUCGGCGAAAAUAUUUAUACCUAGCCGGAUGGCAUACCUAUUAUGUAGAGUUCGCAGUAUUUUAAAUAAUAAUGUUCGUCCCGGAAAUAUGGUAUUAAAUUCGCUUUGAACCGGGAACAAUAACGCACAACUAAUGUACACCUACCCACGCUCCUCGUUAUUGUGCGGGGAAACGCGUGCACCGGCGUAAUAUUUACGCGCAACGACGGUACCUAUUGAAAAUCCAUAAAGUGUACAGAUCGUAUACGUUUUACGUUGGAACGGAAAAUCAAUUGAAAACGGCGCGGUUGUGAACGAAAACGCGGACCCGUCGUUCGCCGUGUCCGGCGCGUUUCUCCGGUAUCCGAUUGGACUCGAAACGUUUGGUGUUGUGGCGCCGAACGGCGGUUAACA
rnacentral:lncRNA from 1 species